CAGAUUGCCGCGGAAGGGGGGAGGCGUUUCGGCGCGGCCCCUUUUCUGAGGAAAGUCCGGGCUCCGCAGGGCAUGAUGCCGGGUAACGCCCGGGCGGGGAAAGACAAAGGGUUCCCCGACAGCAAGCGCAACAGAAAGCAAACCGCUGGGCGUCCCGGCCUUCCGGCGCGGACCGGAGGGCCGGGACGGUAUAAGGGGAAGCGAUUCGCCUUAACCAGCAAGGGUGAAAGGGCGGGGUAAGAGCCCACCGCGGCGCCGGCAACGGCGCUGGAACCUUCCGGUUAGCCGUGAGUACGGCUGAAGCGGAUCAUUGCAAGCCUCAUCAGGAGCAAAGUCAAACAGCGGUCCCGGCGGGCGUUGGGGAGAACCGGAUGUCCGUCUUGGGUUGGGGGUAAAACCCCACGGGCGGCCCGAUCCGAACCGCGGGUGGACUGCAAGGAUGCCGUCCGAGAGGGCGGCGCAAGACAGAUGGCAAUCCCGCGGCCUUCCGCAAGGGGGGCCGCGCUACAGAACCCGGCUUAUGGUUCAUCGUUUUUC
rnacentral:RNase_P_RNA from 1 species